rnacentral:rRNA from 1 species
CCUACGGGAGGCAGCAGUGGGGAAUUUUGCGCAAUGGGGGAAACCCUGACGCAGCAACGCCGCGUGAGCGAUGAAGGCCUUCGGGUCGUAAAGCUCUUUUAGUGGGGAAGAAAUCCCAUGGUAACCCCAUGGGUCUGACGGUACCCACAGAAAAAGUUCCGGCUAACUACGUGCCAGCAGCCGCGGUAAUACGUAGGGAGCAAGCGUUGUUCGGAAUUAUUGGGCGUAAAGAGCGCGUAGGCGGUUCUGUAAGUCUGAUGUGAAAUCCCGGAGCUUAACUCCGGAACUGCAUUGGAUACUGCAGGACUUGAGUGUGGGAGAGGAGAGUGGAAUUCCCAGUGUAGAGGUGAAAUUCGUAGAUAUUGGGAGGAACACCGGUGGCGAAGGCGGCUCUCUGGACCACAACUGACGCUGAGGCGCGAAAGCUAGGGUAGCAAACGGGAUUAGAUACCCCGGUAGUCCUAGCCGUAAACGAUGGGCACUAGGUGUAGGAGGUAUCGACCCCGUCCUGUGCCGCNGCUACGCAUAGUCGCCCGCCGUGGGUAGGUACGGUCGCAGACUAAACUACAANAGAUGACGGCGNGAGACGNGCCGACGGCGACGACGAGGGAGGUAGG